ensembl:rRNA 5S_rRNA 5S ribosomal RNA
GUCUACGGCCAUACCACCCUGAACGCGCCCAAUUUCAUCUGAUCUCGGAAGCUAAGCAGGGUCGGACCUGGUUAGUACCUGGAAGGGAGACACUAGUGGAAUUGAAGGACCAAAUGUUAACU